rnacentral:lncRNA from 1 species
CUCGUCAGUUACGAAGCUGGACUGAAACUGCACUGUCAUUCAAUGCUGGAAGCUUCUGCGCGCGCGCGCGCGCAAGUCACCUUGGUGCGCGCGCGCCCAGGUCUGCAUGCCCAUGCGCGGUGCGUCCUCUUGGCUCAUAGCCAUGCGCGCAUGCGCCACGUCACCAUGCGCGGUGCGUCCUCUUGGCUCAAGUCCACGUGCGCGUGCGCCACGUCACCUGUGAGCCUAUACGAGCGCGCCGUAUUGGCUCACUCUGGUGCGCCGCGCACGACACAGCAGGACCCAAGCACCAUGCGCGCAACCGCGCGCCUCCGUGCCAUGUGUACUCACGCGUGCAUGUGCAUAACUGCCACGUCAUGCGCCGCAUCACCUACCACUUGGUCCUUGCAACCCUUGUGCUCCACCACGCGCACGCGGUCAAAAAUACAAAGGCGGCUCUCAAGCGGGCGAAGUGCAAAGUGCGCCAUCAAAGCGCCACAUUGCGCCUCAUCGCCCACGCCACGCGCGCGCGCGUGUGCGAGUGCGAGUGCGAGUUAGGGUGCUCCGCACCCUUCGCGAGGACACUAG